rnacentral:rRNA from 1 species
UUAUAAGAGACAGCAGCAGCCGCGGGAAUACAGAGGGUGCGAGCGUUAAUCGGAUUUACUGGGCGUAAAGCGUGCGUAGGCGGCUUCUUAAGUCGGAUGUGAAAUCCCUGAGCUUAACUUAGGAAUUGCAUUCGAUACUGGGAAGCUAGAGUAUGGGAGAGGAUGGUAGAAUUCCAGGUGUAGCGGUGAAAUGCGUAGAGAUCUGGAGGAAUACCGAUGGCGAAGGCAGCCAUCUGGCCUAAUACUGACGCUGAGGUACGAAAGCAUGGGGAGCAAACAGGAUUAGAUACCCCGGUAGUCCCUGUCUCUUAUAC